AGAAAAGUUGGCUAAGAAUUAAUUAUUUCUAAUUCUUUUUAAUUAUAUCUAUAACUUACUGAUCACGCUAACAUACCAUGAGCUGUAGAUAUAAUAAUUUUUACGCAGGUGAUCCCCGAGAUCUGAAAAUUAUUUCAAGUUUUCCUCUAGGGCAGAAAGGCUGGUGUAGAGGGAGUAGGGCACACAUCCUUGUGCCAGUAUAGAUGGUCAGCAGGGAGGUGAUAUUAUUUCCAAUCUGAUAUCAUUUCCAAUAAGGAAGUCCAGGAUCCAGUUGCAGAGGGAGGUACAGAGGCCCAGGUUUUGGAGGUAGUUGAUUAGUACUGAGAAUAUGAUGGUGCUGAACACUGAGCUGUAAUCAAUGAUGUAGAUAUUGCUAUUGACCAGGGAGAGGGGAAAGUGAGAAGCUCUUCCAUUCACCUGGCUUCACCUAUCACCUUUUAGCUUGUACUCCUUCCUCUCCCCCCCACCUUAUUCUGACUUCCCCCUUCUUUUCCAUUCCUGAUGAAGAGUCUUGGUCCAAAACAUCAACUGUUUAUUCUUUUCCAUGGAUGCUGCCUGCCCUGCUGAGUUCCUCCAGUGUCUUGUGUAUGUUGCUCUGGAUUUCCAGCAUCUCUAGAAGCUCUGCUGUUUGUGAUUUGUGAUUGUAACUGUACUGGAACAGCUUGAUCAGAGGAGUAGCUCGUUAUGGAGCACCGGUACUGCAAAUGGGAUGUCGUCUGGUUCCAGAGCCUUUCCUGUGACCAGGGUUCUCCGCAAAUUUUAGAGUUUACAUGGGGUUAUCAAGAGGGCACUAUCUAGGCUAUCUACUCAGCAGCUCUGAAUGAACAUGGUUAUUUGGAACAUUGAGCUGCCUCAUGAGAGACCUACUGCUAGACAGAAUGCAGAGAAUGUAUUUGAAUAUGUUACACUGCUGUUUAAAUAUGUCAAAAAGUUAAAAAUGACACAAAUAAUUCAGAGAAAGACACCCACCCAUGACCCUCUUACUGGAGGCAUAGAUCAGAAAUUUUAAUAGAAAAUACAAUAAACUCAGGACAUUAAGUCUACCUUAAAUGGUUAAGCAUCUGUUUGUUAUCAAAUUACAUAUAACUAAAUACUGUCGUAGAAGAGUCAUCUCUCCCAUGAUUCAGGACGUUUACAAAGACAGGUGUGGGAAAAGGGCCCGAAGGAUCAUUGGCAUAAAAGCCUGGAUCAGCAGGCUCUGGGCAGCUUCUUCCGCCAGGCUAUCAGACUGAGGGAUUCACGCUGACUUCAGCGUAUUUCUAUGUUACAUUGACUGUUCUACUUAUUAUAAGUUAUUAUAAAUUACUGUGAUUGCACAUUGCACAUUUAGACAGACACAUAACGUGAAGAUUUUUACUCCUCACAUAUGUGAAGGAUGUAAUAAAUUAAGUCAAGUCAAUUAAAUUCAAUUCAAUUCAGGUCAGUUCAAUUCAAGAGCAUCUUUUAGUGUCUCACAAAUGCAGGUAACAGAUUACUUCACUUUAAAGCUGAUAAACAUCAUUGCCUUUUACUGUAAUGGUACUUCAUCUUGUCCAUCUCCUUGCUUUUCUUGUGAACUCAGCACAGUCUAGACAUAAAUGAAGUUCCAGCAUAUCACGAAUGGGAGUUACAUGAAGAUGACCAGGUAGGUCUGAGCUGAAUGCAAUACUGGAACUUGUCCACACACUCUUAGCUGACCAUUCUGUGAAGUUGGGUCUGGACCAUGCACGAGUCGAAAAUACAUUAGAAAUAUCCAGUAAAGGGGUGGUCAAUUAAAUACUGAUGGACAUACUCUAGGGCCAGUAAUGUUGCACUGAUUGAUAGGGCUUGAACUGACUAUACUCCACUCUAUUAUGUAAGGAAAAAAAAACAAGGGAAAAUGUUGAACAUUUGUAUAUCUUAAGAGGGACUAUACUUUUAUGUGAAAUAUGUUCUACAGAACCGAUACUGUAGAGUGUGGCUAGAAAGCAUGUUUCAUUAUUUUGUCUGGUGGAGAUGACGAGAAAUAACAUUACAAAGUUUAUUCUGUGCAUUUUUGUAUUUUGUUGGUUUUUUGUGCCGUACAGUGUUAUAAAUUCUGCAAUUAAGUGAUAAAGGAGGCGAGCAAGUAUAGAGGAUUCAAUUUCCAAAUGGAGUUUGCAAAUUUCACUAACUAGUUGCUCUUUUUCACUGUAGUUUUCUGCAGACUAUUAAUGUUAUGAUCAUUUUAAUAGAAGUCUCCCAGGGUCCAAAAUAUCACUGGUUAAAAUCAAUUAUUACCAUUGAUGAUAUUGAUUAAUGUAGCAGUCUUGUUGGGCUGAAUGGCCGAAUUCUGCGCCUAUGUCUUAUACCUGCAAGCUAGUCCAUUGAUGUUCUCAUGCACCAAUUGUGAGCUCUGAAAGAAGCAUAUAUAUCAAAGCCUCUCUCCUUUAAAAAACUUUUCCCAAAGACAAAAAUUUAAUAUGAUUUGACUAGAAAUCAACUGGGUAAAACCUUCUCGGGGGAAGAGCAAUAUUUUGCAUAUAUAUAAUACCUUAUACACAGUAAAAUGUCUUAAGGCAUUUUACUGGUGUGUUAAGAGAGAAAAAAGCAGAAUUUCCAAGUGUGGUAAUAUUUCAAACGAAUGCUAUUUUUGAAUGCUAUAUUGUAUGGCAAAUGAAUAAUAAGCAACAUAAUAUUAAAACAGCAUGCCAGUUUAGGAGCAGACACUUUGUUAAAGUUUACUGCUUCAGGUUUGCAUUACUUUUGAAGACUUCCAAAGGCUGAGAAAGGAACUUGGAACCUUUAGGGCUGAUACUUUUUAUGUUGUCAUUGCCGUUACUUAAAAUAAAAAUAGAAAAUAUGGGAAACAUUCAUCAAGUCAGGCUGCAACUGUAAAAGAGAAACAGAAUUAUAUUUUACAUCGGAGACUCCAAGUCAAAUUUAUUGCCAUAUGCACAAGUAUAUGUUUGUAAUGAAAAACUUACUUUCAACAGUACAUAGAAUCAUACAAGAAAGAUUAAAAAAUUGUUAAUACCAAAAUGUCUCCAGCCUGCUGAAGCUGCCUGACUUAGAACAUAAAACAUACACUCAGUGACCACUUUAUUAGGUACCUUUUACCAGAUAAAGAAGUCAAUGAGUGUGUGUCUGUGGUCUUCUGCUGCUGUAGUCAUCCACUUCAAAGUUCAACGUGUUGUGUUUUCAGAGAUGCUCUUCCGGAUACUGCUAUUAUAACGUAUGGUUGUUUGAGUUAUUGUCACCUUCCUGUGAACUUGAACCAGUCUGGCUAUCCUCCUCCCACUUCCCUCAUUAACAACUUUGGAGAAUGUUGUGUGUGAAGAUCCCAAGAGAUCAGCAUGUUCUAAGAUACUCAAGCCAUCCUGUCUGGCACCAAUAUUCAUUGUCAUGGUUAAAGUCACUCAGAUCACAAUUUUUGCCCAUUCUGAUGUUUGGUCUGAAUAAUAUCACGGUCUUGACAAAUUCUGCAAGCUUUAUGCAUUGAAUACCUGCCCCUGAGUGGCUGAUUAGAUAUUUGCAUUAACAAGCAUGUGUACAGAUGUACCUAAUAAAGUGGCCACUGAGUGUAGAACAGUACAACUGUCCCUUCAAACUCUGGUGUUUUAAUCUAUCUUUUCAUCUACUCCAAGAUCAAUUUAACUCUUCCCUUCCACAUAGCCCUCCAUUUUUCGCUCAUUCCUUAAAAUCUGAGAUUUGUGAAGGAUUGUUCCAAAGUAAGCCAGCCUAUGAAUCAGCUUCUGUGCGGUUACCCUCUCUUGGGGAGGAAAGGGAGAAAAAAGAAAGGAGAAGAAUGCAAAGUUUGUCUUAGCCCAUCAGAGCCUUUUGAGGAAAGAUAGGAAGUAAAAUGUCAAGAGGCCUUUCAACUGCCAAAAGAGUUGUUCACUUAAGCACCUGUGUUGACCUUUACAAAGCCUCCAGUUGCCAAACAUGCUGAAUACCAACACCAGCUGUGAGCAUUUAGGUGGUAUCCGAUAUCAAGGUUGAGUCCUGUUGCUAUCGUCAACCAAAGUCUGUCACCCUCUGAAUGAAUCUACCCUACGCACACAUUGGAGUUCCUGGCAUUGAAGUGGGUUGUGCUGGAUAAGUUAACUGACUAUCCAUAUGGGGCCAAGUUUGGCGUGAGGAUUGGCCUCAGCAAAGUUGGACAUCACAGGUCAUGGUGGGCAGCAUUGUCUGCUUAUGAUUUCAGCCUGAAAUAUUGGUUGGAGAGCUGGAACGUUGAUGCGGAUGCAUUGUCCCGACAUUCACACGAGGUGCUGGAAAUGGACGGAGAGUGGGAGGGCGUUCCUGCCUCUGGUGUUAACGCAAUUUGCCAGUUUUCCGUAGUGGGGAAAUCAGAUACAAGGCUGAGGCAUGAUAGAGCUGUGGAUCAUUUGGGAGCUUCUGGUUAUGCCAUUCCACAAGCAUAUUGCAACUUGACUGCUCUCAAUAUGAAGCAGUCGCCUGCCUUAAGUCCUGCAGGAUAGGCAUCAGUCCAGCGCGAACACCCAUGUAUAGAGACCAUUUGGUCAUCUGCUGCCUAAAGGGAAAUAGCCCAAGUUGAAAAGACGAGAUACCCUACCAUUCCACUACUGAUGAGAGAAUGGGACAAAAUGGAGUUGAAGAACCAGUGUUUAUACGGGGCACAUCUUCUUUAUACAGGCCUUGGUUGUCCCAGUUGGUUUUACCUGAGAGGCAUCAGAGGAUUGUGUUAAAGUCACCUCAUGACAGUUCAGGUCAUGUGGGGUUUGUUAAGACCUACAUAUUGAUCCGAGGUCAGUUCUAUUGGCCUAAGUGAAGCCUGAGGUUGAAAAGUAUUGAAAGCCAUUCCUGCGAUGUAUUCACUGCCUACGAGGAUUGCUCCAUAAUCGGAUUUACAGAGUAUGGGACCACAUAAUUUAGUCUGUGUGAAUUUCCUCUCUAUAGACUAUGAUUGUCUUGGUCAUCAUUGAUCACUGCACCAGGUAUGCUCAAGCCUUCCCCACUAAGGAUCAGAGAGCAUCUAAAGUUGCCAAGGUGUUACGGGAGAAGCAUAUUGUUCAUUAUGGCCUCCCAAGAAGAAUACACAGUGAUCAGGGAGGGAUUUUGAGCUCAGCUCAUACAAGAGUUACUUAGCAUGCUUAGAGUUGAGAAGUCAAGGACCAUGCCCUGUCACACUCAGUGUGAUCCCUUGCCUGAACAGUUCAACCAGACAUUGUUAGACAUGCUUGUGUAAAGGGGGGGAGUUUCUUCUUUUUCUUUGUUACUGCGUAUGUUAAUCAAAACGGCUUCUUUGUUUUGUUAAAAUUAGGAAUGCUUCUUUGUUGCGAGAGAGUGCUGGAAGCUUGUUUGGGUUAAAAUUUACUGAUAACGAGAAUUGUAUUCCUUUGUAAAUCGAUUGGGAUUAAUGUUGUUUUUUCUUCUGAGUCUGUAAACUAUUGUUGGCGGGCUUUUGGGGAGAUUGGCACGAGGGGGUGAGAGAGAGAGGACGCAAUGCUGUAAACUGGGCGAGGAAUGGACCCCAAGUGGGGAUCCAAGGCCAGGAGGUACCCCAAGGAGAGGAGACGAAGAUAGAUGUGCUUGGUUGACCACUUUGGGUGGUCCUGAGCUGUAAGUUAAGGAGUUCGGUGGGGAUCAAAUGGUGGCCAGAAGACUUCAGUAAUUGAGCUCCAAUGGUUGUGCACAAGGUGGUUUGGACUUUGAUAAUUUGGUGCCUUUUCUUUAUUUUCUUUUCCUUCAUGUAUACUGUAUCGUUAUUAAUUACUUAGUUAUAAUAAUCUUUAUAAACUGUAAUCAUUUAAUCGCAUAUGGUGUUCUGUUUGUUUUUGGGCGAGGCGGGGACAUCACACAGCAUCCAUACCAGCUGAUUACCCAGUUUGGCGGGGCCGAAGGCUGCUCCCCCUAGACGAGAACGAGCUGAGCAAGCCUGAGGCGACCCAGGGGCCAAUGAACAGAAGAGCUGAUUGUUGAUUACAGGAAAAAUGGAGACAGGCUCGGCCCAGUCAUCAUCAAUGGGUCUGCAGUUGAGAGGCUGGACCAAAGAUAUUCUGCUCAAUAAGAUGCUGCAAACAGCCUGCAAUUCUCAGCUCAAUAAUACUUCACUUAUCAAGAUUAACUGCUGAAUACAAGAAGAUAUUAAGCCAAAAACACAAAGUCAUGGAUUUAAAUUAAGGGGAUUUGAGAUUUUUUUAAAUCAGAGAAUGGUUGAUACCUGCAACAGCAAAGGUCAUGCCCUCUUCUUGCUGCUGCCAUUAGGAAGAAAGUACAGAAGCCUCAGGACUCACACCAGCAGGUUCAGUAAUUGCCCCUCAAUCUGAACAGGAGUGGAUAACUUCACUUGGCCCAUCACUGAACUGUUGCCACAACUGCUUUCAAGGACUCUUCAUCUCAUCUUCUCAAUAUAUAUUGCUUAUUUAUUAUUAAUUAAAUUUUUUGUUUUGCGCUAUUAGGACAUAUUCUGGAGAUAUGCAAUAUAGUAAAUAUUAACUUCAAGCAAUGUGCAGUUCUGAAUAGGGAUAGUAGUUUGAAUUUAAAAUGCAGCUUGGAACAAUGGUCUUUCUGAAGCUGUACUUUAGAGUAAAUUGCACACCAGGAAAUACCCAACUGACUGAGAUGUCUGUAUAUGCAUGAAUGCAAUCAAAACCAUUUGACCUAAGGUUCUACAGAGGCAUGAACAUGACUCAGAGACAAUGAUGAUUAGCACUCAUUUUGGGUGUGUUGGUGGGUAGAUACAGAUGAUUGAAAAUUAUAUGUAACUCAAAAGAAGCAUAAUGAAGGCAUUGUAACUAGUAACAUUGUCCUGUUACCUUUGUUCUUUAGCAUAUAAAGUAUGUUGUAAUGUCGAAUCGGAGUGACUCCAAAGGCUGUCAGCUUGUGUGUGUCCUGAAUAAAGGCAUCGAUAUCUACCAGCUUCAUCUUUCCAGUGGCUUCAUUCACAGUCAUGACAUGCUCUCUUUUGCCUUUUGCACACUGGUUAUCCACCCUGUUGGUGACAUCUUUCAUUGAUUCUAUUAUGUUUAUUGGAUUUAUUGAGUAUGCUCGCAAUAAAAUGAAUCUCAGGUUUGUAUAUGGUGAUACAUAUGUACUUCGAUAAUAAAUUUACUUUGAACUUUUGAAUUUUGAAUCCAACGUUUUCCUUUUCUCCCGGGGAUUUUUUUGAUUGUUCCAUUACUGAUUUUCCCUUCUAGCCAUUGGCUACUGAUCACCUUUCAUGCCCU